GCAGAAAGUCUCAUGGUCUACUCGAGCUGCCCGAGGUUGACAUCACCGACUGCGAGAACCACAGCCAGUGCAAGAACCGCUGCACAAAGGAGUUCAACGAAAUGACUAACGAAAUGGAUUUGUGGUCGACCGUGAAUGGUGAGACUGUUGGUCAGUUCAUCUGCCAGAACCUAUACGGAAACUUCGUCAUGUUCAUCCACAACUCAUAUGUUCACGCCUACUACGAGGUUUGCGGCGGACCCUGGGAGUACGCCGGCCUCGACUCCCAGCAGAUGCUGUGCUGCAGUCUGGGCCAGCAUGAGCACUGCAUCAGCCGUUGAUAUGGUUUUUGCUAAUAAAUCCCUAAAAACCCUCA